rnacentral:rRNA from 1 species
GACGAACGCUGGCGGCGUGCUUAACACAUGCAAGUCGAACGGAAAGGCCCCGUUUUGGGUCCUCGAGUGGCGAACGGGUGAGUAACACGUGCGUAACCUACCCUUGACUUCGGGAUAACUUCAGGAAACUGGGGCGAAUACCUGCCAGGAAUCCGUGCUUCAUGGUGGGGGUUGGAAAGCUUCUGGGGGUUUGUGGGGAAUGGCGGCCUUUUAGUUUGCUUGUGGGGGAGGUGGUUACCAAGGCUUUGACGGGUAGCCGGCCCGGGGGGGGGGACGGCCACAAUGGGACUGGGGAACGGCCCAGACUCCCACGGGGGGGAGCAGGGGGGAAAAUUGCACCAUGGGGGGGAGCCCGAUGCAGCCAAGCCGCGGGGGGGAAGACGGGCUUUGGGUUGUAAAACGCUUUCAGCAGGGGCGAAGCUUGUGGUGACGGUACCUGGAGAAGAAGCACCGGCUAACUACGUG